AAUAAAAGUUAAAAACAGAGGCUUUAGUUAAAACCAAAUUUUCAAUACUUGUUUUGUAUUUAAUUUGGGUUAUUUCCGAUUUGCAAUAUAAAUGAAAAAUAGGUAAAUAGCGUAGGAAUCGAUUAGUAAUAUAUUCUCGACUUUAAAAAACUUGAGAAUAAGAUGAUGAAAUAUGUUUUCCUUUUUGCGAUCAUCAUGGGGCGGCAGUUCAUUGAUGCAGAUCAGAUAGGUAAUGGCCGAGAGCUGUACUUCGCGGAAGGCAUCCUGCAGGAUACAGAUUCCGGAAAUGACGUAAUUAAGUCAAUACCAGUCACGGAUGUAACUACGUGCGCAAUGUGGUGCAUGCGCGAUAGCGAUUGCAAGUCGUUGACCAUAUAUGGGCUGGAUAAUAUCAAUCAAAAGUGGAAAGUGUGCAAAUUAAUAUCAGGAAAGAACUACCACCGAACCGACACAAGGGAGCAGCCAAGAUAUUACUUGAAAAAGAUAUUGGUCAAUUGAACAAUGUUAUACAUUUGUGAGAUUUAUGAUGUGAUGAAACGAAAGACUUGGAAUACUUGUAAUAUUUACAAAUCAUUACCAUUUCGAAUUACCAAUGCUAAUGAUGAGGAAGAUGAUGAGAGUAACUAAACUAGUGGUAAAAAUGUCAAGAAAAAUAAUGUUCUACAAUG